ensembl:lncRNA
AGUUUUCCCACCCAGCUGAGUUUUGUCAUGAAGUCGGGAAUUGUGAGCUUAUAUGUGCAGUUGAUAUCCGCAACAGCAAGUGUCAAAACUACACACUUAAGAAGAAAAAGGGUUACUAUUUUGAGUUAUAACUAAGAAAGAUAGAAAGGAAUAAAUAAGACGAUAGGACUAUUAGUGACUCUUUCCCAGGACAGCAGAGAGCGACAGUAGCUGCAGUGAAGGAGCAAACACCGGUCUUCUCUGAGGUUUCCGAUCAUCUCUUCAGUCACAGAGGACCCAUGCCAGUAUGGGAGCUGCACUUGAAAUUGUACUGUGCAGAGAGUGUGGGAGAACAAUAGAUAUUGACUUUUUGACUUUUCUUAUCAAACUUGUUUUUGGUUUGGAUUUUGGAUGGAACCUGGUAGCUAGGCUUAAAGAAAGGAAUUUAAACUUAUGCAAGCAGUGUUACAGGAGAAAGCAGGAUGCAGAAGAAGAGCAAAUGAGGGAGGAAGAGGAGAGGAAAAGGAGACAAGAGAGGAGACGGAGAGAGGAGGAGGAGACAAGACUGAGGGAGGAGGAAGAAAGGAAAAGGAGACAAGAGGAGGAGAGAAGGAGAAAGGAGGAGAAAAGAUUAAUGGAGGAGGAGAAGAGACAGAUGGAGGAGGAGAGAAGAGAGAAGCAGGAGGAGGAGAGGAGAAUAAGGGAAGUGGGGUUUAGUCUGGAAAAGACUCAGACUGAGUUGCAGGAAAAGAGGAGAAAUGAGAGGAGAGCAGAGGAGGAGAGGCGUGAAACCACAGUGGUCACAGAGACAUUCCAGUCACAGUGCCGCUCCCCAGAGAGCAGACAGCCAGACAGAGGAUUACUCAGCAUCCUGUCUCAAAAGUGUGGAAUCCCUGAGGGAGACAUAGAUCUCCGAAGACUCCGACCCCAGCAGGUCCUGUCCCUUUCUCGCUCUCUCCGGGAGCUCCUGUUCCAGGAAUGGGAGGAGCAGCCACCCCCGAUGGACACACUGACUCACACUCAGGUCCUGCUCGCAGAGCUUUGUGUGAUGGCGCUGGACACUCACAGCGAUGCCUCUCUGGAGUGUGCUGCUGACCAGCUGCAGCUGGCAGUACAGACAGUGGGAUAUGCAGUGACGGUGGCAGUAGUUGAGGAAGAGGAGUGGCAAUAUCUCAACUUCACACAGGCCCUGUUCUUGACUUUCACUAAUCUCUUUGAGGACAGGCCUGAUUCCCAGCUGAGUGUCUUCUCUGUGGCUAAUGAAUGGAGUCAGGAAGACAUCUCCUUGGAGCAGCUCUUCCUUGCCAAGUUUCUGGAGCUCCUCCUCAGAGCCCUGGAAAAGGAAACAGGCCCAGUUUUGGGUGUCCAGGAGAAGUGUCUGGAGCUGAUACUAGAUGCUAUAGGGCAGUGGCCACUUACAGAAACCGAUUCCUUUGCUGCUCUGUCUCCAGCAGUACUGGCACUUUUGGAUGUUAACUGGACAUCCCUGGAGGCACUGGACUUAAUAGGGAGUUUAGCACAGAAUAGGGUGAGCCCUAGUGGUGCGCUCUGUGUCCUAGACCUGGUGGAACGGCACAAUCUGCCCUCAUCCUGGAGAGACAAGCAGGGCCACUCAUUAAACACCCUGCUGGAGUCAACAUGUGAUUUCAACACAUUUUACUCUGGUUUAGACAAGGAGCUGCAGAAGGAAUGCACACAUAACCUGGAGUUCCUCCUUACCCAGGUGCCAGAACGACGGUGGAGUGUGAUCAAUACCGUGCACAAAGAAAUGAAAGACAAUCAGUGUGAAAUUAAAGAUAAAGUCAAUGCAGUUAUAUCUCACAAAAGCCUUUACAGGGGCUCUUUGAGAGGCUCCAAAUUUGGGCAAACAGAGCUGAAGAUACUACUUUCCAUCCUGAGCAGAGCAGUGCUCCACACACAGGGCAGGGGGCCCACAGUAGCUCAAAUGGUCAGAUGGUGUAACCUGGCCAUUAAUAACAGCGACGAUGAGUUCCUCACACUGGAAAGAGACCCCUGUGUGGCAGUAAUGCAUGCAGCCCUGAUGGUCUUUCAGGGCAGACAGGUGGGUAUAGUUCUGGGCUCUCCCUCCUAUAGGCCACAGGACUGGUCUUCAUUCUACCAGAUGCUUGGAAUUAACGUGCAAACAAGCACUACUGUCCCAUUAACCCAGCACUGUGAGUCGGAUAUUGUCUGUGGCAGCCUUGAGAGUUUUAUACAUGACUUCCUCCAACAUGGAUCUGGUCCAAGAGGGAGAGGCUUGGCACCUCUGCCUGACUGCCUCAUUCUUGGACAACCUCUGUCAAACAGAGAAUUAUGUUUCCCCAGGCUGUCCCAAAGCUCAGAGCUUGCACAUAAUCUGACUGAUAUCCUGCACUCUCUAAUGCCAACCUCAAAAAACAAUGCAGAUCAGUGCUUCAAGUUAAUGCACACAUUCCUCCACACACUCUCAACCCUCACCAAAGACAUCCAGCUACCAUUUGGAGAGGACAUGGCGUCAAUUUUCCAGCAAUUCUCAAAGCAGGCCAUUUGUCCGUAUCAGCAGUACAUGUUGAGGUUCCUGGAAACUUUCCUCAGGUCUACUUGUGACACACAGACAAAGGAAAAGUGCUAUGAGCUUCUGACUGCCACAGCAGUACAGAAUUGCAGUGAGGAACUCUGCAUAGAAUCUCUAUCCAAACUAUCAGACCUGGUAAGGAGUGGACGAUGGGCUCCGGCAGAUGCUUUGGACCUAUUCAUUUUCUUGGUGAAAAAGUUCAGAAAAGGGGAAAACCUUUUCACCUCGGUCCUGAAAGUGCUUCAUUCCCUGGAAAUCCACUGUGUCUGUCCCAGCUUCAGGGACAGAGAUGGAUGCUCAUUGACUCAGCUGCUAGAAUCUGAAGCCUCCACCACUCACCUAAUUUCUCGGCUCAGAGACUCCUUGAGCACAGAGGGUGAGAAGAGCCUGGAAGACAUUCUCCAAGAAAUGUGUGAAUCAAACAGAAGCAUCACAGAGACCACACUCCAAGAGGUGAGGGGCAUUCUAGCGUCUUGGCAGACUUGCAAGAUUAGGACGGUCCCAAAAUUUUCCAAAGGCUCCCUAAACUGUACUUUGAAGAGAGAGGAGCUGGCUGCAGUCCUGUUUGCUCUCUGCAAAGCUGUGUAUGAGACACAGGGCUGGUGGCCCAGAACAACUCAGAUAGUCAGCUGGUGUCUGCUGGCUCUCUCUGUCUCAGGGAGGCUGCUGCAGCUUGGAACAGGUGAGGGGAAGUCCUGUGUUGUAGCCAUGUUCACAGCCUUCAGGGCUCUGCGAGGGGAGAGAGUGGAUGUGCUCUCCAGCUCUCCCAUUUUGUCCAAGAGAGAUGCUGCUGAUUGGCGUCCAUUCUACAGCCUAUUUGAUGUCUCUGUCGACUGCAACACGGAUAAAGACAAAGACGAGGAUCGUAAGAGGUGCUACAGUUGUGAUGUAGUCUAUGGCACGGCUGAGAGCUUUGCCGCAGACUGCUUGCGCCAGAGCUUUGAAAUGAAGGAGGUGAGGCCUGGCCGUGGAUUUCAGUGCGUCAUUGUGGAUGAGGUGGACUCUCUCCUGUUAGACAAGGGAGUACAGAUGACCUAUCUCUCUACUGAUGUAGCUCCUAUGCAGCACCUAAAUAUUGUGCUGGCCAUGAUCUGGGGUAUCGUCAGCCAGUACGGUCUGGUGCCAACAGGCACGGGAACCAUGAUCCGAGGCCCCGUCCUGCCUUUUCACAAAGCCCUGUUUGACUCUGUGGAGACUGAAGAUGGUGUGGAGCCACUCACAUUCUUACAGCGGGCAGAGAACAGUGGGUUGAUACCCAAUGGCUUCUGCAAGGACUGUGACUCUACAAAGAAACUAACAGAGAAAUUAAAGACAGUGUCCCAGGACACAAUGCUGCAGUUUUUCCACUUGCCUGAGAAGGGGUUUAAAAGUUCAUCACUUUAUAAGUUCAUCACUUACACUCAAGACCAGCGAGGAACCCUGCUGCAUCACUCAGACAAUGACAGGGAAAGUGAGGGAGAAAAAAAUGAUCACAAGGUAUUUUUCUUGGUUCUGGAUGAAGGCCUGUGCUGUGCUCUGUAUGAGGAUGAGGAGACCCUCUGUGACGCCAUUGUGGAGGGUGUGAAAGAUCGGCUGCAGUUUAGCGCAUGUAAUCCAGACAAGAAUGAUAAAUGUCAAUGUGGAGCAGAUAAACACAAAACCAGAGUCCCUGGGUUCCUAAAAGAGCUGGUGGAAAAGAAUCUAAGGGUUUGGGUUCAAAAUGCCUUCCUGGCCGUCAAGGUGCAGGAGGGUCAGGAGUACAUAGUAGAUGGGGAACAAAUUCUCCCGGUGGAUUAUAGCUGCACCGGUAUCGUUGAGCGCAACAAGAAGUGGGGAAAUGGCCUGCAGCAGUUCCUGGAGAUGAAACACCAAACCAAGCUGAGCUGCAUGUCCAUCAUUACCAACUACCUCUCCAACGUGGCCUUCUUCAGGCAGUACGGGGGCCAGGUGUACGGCACCACUGGGACUUUGGGGACACAGUCAGAGAUCGAUCUGCUGCAGGAGCUCUACCCAGGCCUCUCCACCUGUGAGAUUCCAUCCUUCAACCGGAAAAAGCUGUCUGAGGUCAAGGGGGUGCUGGAGAGCAAUGUGGAUAAGUGGAGGGAGAGGAUUUGCUCCUCUGUCUUGGAGCAGACUCGUCCAACCUCCUAUCGAGAUGGAAGGGCAGCACUGGUCAUCUGUGAGUCUAUCAACCAAGCAAUGGACAUCCACAAGGCUCUCAAAGAGCAGGGGAGUGAGAAACAGCUCAGUCUCUAUACCAACAGCAACCAGGACAACUCCAGCAUCACAAGCCAGCUUCUCCGACCUGGGGAUGUGAUCGUGGCCACUAACUUGGCAGGUCGUGGAACAGACCUGCUUGUCUCCAAAGAGGUGAAUGGGGCCGGGGGACUGUUUGUAGUCGUCACCUUCCUGCCUGAUAACGCCCGAGUGGAGAUGCAGGCUUUCGGGCGCACGGCUAGGAAAGGGAGCCCUGGCUCGGCGCAGCUCAUCAUCUGCUCUGCACAUCUGCAGGAGCCCCUGAGAAAUGCGUCCACACUCCAGGAUGCCAGAGCAGCUAGAGACUCACUGGCCAUGGAUCAGGUAUCCCGUGUCCUGCAGGAUGAUAUCCCUGAGAUCUCCCUCAGAGAGGAGCUCUUUUCCCAAUAUUGCCAGAUUCUCAAAGGGAUCUACCAGCCCUUUUCCAAUUCAUCGUUAGGCAACUUAGACAUCUACAACAGCAAGCGCAGGGUGACAUUGGCAGUGCUGAACGAGUACUGGGGGAUUUGGCUGCUGAGAAAAUCGGAUGAGAUUGAAAAGUUGGAAAAAUCUCAGCUGAUGAAGAGCCUGGAGACUGAUAUAAAACGCGCCCAUCAGCAGUCCCAAGAAAACCUCUCUCCCUGUUCUAGCAUCUACCAUUUCAUCAAGUUUGGAAACAAAUUACUCGGUGAAAAUAAACUGAAGGAGAGCGCAGAGCUGUACAGUAGUGCCAUAGAGCUGGAUAGAUGCUGGGCUGCUAUUGCGCUCUAUAAACGUGCUUACUGCACUCUGAGGCAAAAACAAAAAGACUGUAUGGAAAAUGCAUCAAAAGACUUGGAGAAGGCCUUGGUUUCUGUGGAACUGUUUUUAGAACAAUGCACAAUAACCCAGCAACUGGUGAGCCUGUCAGAUAGAGACUCUGGGAAGACCAAGAGUGCCUUCCAGAAACAGAUGCAGGUCAGGAUACAAGUGCUCACAUACUUCCACAAUAACAUCAGCAGAGCAAUGGAGAAGCUUGAGUUGAUCAAACAGGAUAAAGAAGAAGCCCUUGUUGAUGAAAGCUCUGUCUUCAAUCUGGUCGAGGAUCCCAAUGACGAUGUUCACCAAGAGCUGUAUGAGUUUUACAAGCUGGGUAUGGAGAUGGUGUUUUCAGUGAAGCAGAAGCCCAGAUUCUGCUGGAAAGGCCUAGCUGUAUUCUUCCUGGGGGUGGCUCAGAUUGUGGGGGGGGUCCUCCUCACUGCAUUCACUGGUGGGGUGCUGCUACAAGUGGGGUUCCAGUACAUCAGUGAUGGGAUAUCAGACUGCAUCACUGGUGUGGAAGCCAUGAUCACAGGAACUUUCAGCUGGGCCUCCUGGGCUAUCAGCAAAGCUGUGUCCCUGGCUGUCUCACUCAUUGGCUUUGGAGUGGGAAAACUGAUCUCCAAGGGCUGGAGAGCCAGCAAAAAUGCCAUUAGUGGCUUUGGAAAAAAGCUCACCUCUCUUCCGAAACUAAUCUCUAACCAGGCCAAGGGUGGACUGCAGGCAGUCAUGAGAGAAAAUGUGAAAAACACUUUGAAAUAUGUUGGGAAGGAGGUUGUCCAGCAAACUGUAAUGUAUGGAGUGGGAAAAGUAGAGGAGAAAAUUAUUGAUGAAAUCACUAAUGAAAUUAAAGAAGUUGUCAAAACCACAGUCUUGGACAAGUGUAAAGACAGUAUUGGCUGCCAACCAAUGGGACCCUUGGUCGACAGGAUGGUGCUUGUGCACAUUGAAGAGCAAGGAUACCUCAGUGACCUUCUAGAUGAACCAGAGAAAAGAUCACGGAUGAAAAGGAUUUUUACAGAUAUCUGUGAAAAGGUUCUGAGGUCUCACUGUGCAGGCCUGGGCUGGCAAAAUCGUCUGCAUUCAUCCCUUCAGAGUGUCAUUAAAAGAGUUGCACAGGAGAAUAAUGGAAAGAUGAGAGCAGUUUGUAAAGCAAUUCAGGCAGCUCACAUGGGAGGUCUCUGUGUCGAUGCAAUUUAUUCAGCCAAAGAAGUUGCCAAUGAAUUCAACAGUGCAUUCUUGGAGGAGCUGCAGAAAAGAGUGAAAGAGCUUUAUGGAAAGAGAGGAACAGAUGAAAGUAAAAUAGAAGAGAAAAGAAAAAAUAUUUGUGGCAAUGACAUGGUGAAAUUAAAUGCAUUUAAAACAGAGGUGGCCGAAGUGAUGGCUUCUUGUCUGGCUGAAACAGUAUUCCAGGUUUUUCACCAGAAAUUCUCCAGCCACUUGGUUGGGCUCGCUCAAGAACAAAUAAAUGGCUACAUUGGUGGGUUCAUUUCCAAACGUCUGAUGACUGAUAGGACAAAAGAGAAGCUGGUAGGAGGCCUGAACAGCAGUUACAUAGCCAAUGCCCCACUAAGAAGGAAAUCCAAUAAACUUUCAAAAGUGGAAGAUCAACGUUUGGCAGAAACAUACGCAGAGGAAAUGAGGCCGCAAAGCACAUUCCCUCAUGAUUACAAUCCAGCCACCAUCCUGGAGGCCAGGUUACUGGCUGAAGAAAGCGGGAAGACUGUUGUUAUUUACAUCACAAACAGGCAAGGACAGAAAAUGAAAAUGUCUGUGGUUCAUCCCAGCCAGAGCUCCAAUCAGGGCAGUGUGAACCUACUGUACCAUCCCAGUAGUGAGCGUUAUCCCCAGGGUCACUACGACGCUCUGCACAAUGACCAGGUUGUGCCGGUCUCUGGCGAGGGGAACAAUUGCAUGUUCCAGGCGUUCGCUCGUGGCUUAGACCCUGAUGCCUCUGAUGAACAGAUCCACUCCAGGGCCUCCCAGCUGAGGCAGCAAGGGGCAGAUAUGGUCCUGAAGGAGCCGAACAAGUGGGUGCCGCUUAUCAAGUGCAGACAGAGGGCACUGGAGAUACGGGGAGGCAGCUGGUUCAUGGCAAAAGGGGGGAUGGAUAACCCAGAAAAUUGGGGUUUGGUUGAUACCUACUAUAACAACCGGAAACUACUGCAAGGUGUCAGUGUUAGUAAAAAUAUCCAUGCUGACCACCAGCCAGCAGUUGACAGUAUCUUACUUGCUUACAAAAUGGAUCCUGAAAGCAACCUGGCAAAGUCACUGAUAGAGAUAGGAACCAAUAAACCGUUCACCAGUGACUCCCUAAAGAAUCUGAAAAAACAGCAUGGACAGCACCUUAUAACUGUCACACUGCCUGAUCAAUUACACAGGAGUUGCCUCACCAAUUUAAAAGAAUUUAGAACUCUACAAGCUCAAUACAUUAGCAGUAAUGAUGUGGAGGGCUUUUUAAAGAUGUCUGUCCUGGCUGCCUCACCAGACCUAAUGUGUCUCCGGAAUAACACUCUGGUGAAUACACAGGCGAUGAAGAAUUACAAAGCUAUGUACCAAAACAGCAGUAAGAAGCUAAUUGACCAAUGGGCAGUUAAACUUGAAGGCAGAGGUUUCCAAGUACAGCGGGAGGUACAAAACGUGAAAAGCUGGCUUGGUGGGACAAUAGAAAAGAACGAUGCUCAUUACAAAGCAGCUUUGAAUACUAUAAAGCCGAAGAAUCAGAAUUCUGCUAGAAACAAUAACCAGACCAAGAUGAAUAAAUCUACUUUAAAUUGCCAGAACCAGGUAAGAAUGAUGGCUACUCAAUGAUUUCAAAUAAUUUUCACCUUUGCCAUUUACCCUGUCUUCUCUUGUUACAACUUCCAACAGAAACCAACAUUGAAGUAAAGGAAGAGAUUCAUGCAAUCCAUCAUUAUGUGGACUUCUAUAUGGACUCUUUCCUGUUCCAAAAAGUCUUUGCACUGUGCCCAACACCCGUUUCCUAGUCCUACUUAUCUUUAAUCCUCUGAAAAAUAUUGCCACCUCCAGGCCAGUGUUGAGAACUACAGUCAUGAAUGUCUUAUUUGUAAAAUGCUUUUGAUGAAGUGGAACUGGAAAAAUAACUAUCAACACUCAAUCUGCGUUUGAAUCCUGAAUGGCUACAUCUCCAGCUUCGGCCAUUCCCCUUUUUGCUUCUAUUGUUAUUUGCUUUUCAGUUAUACAGUGCCACUUCAGUAACGUUUCAAUAGCGCCAACUAAGAUCAGAUUAGAUUCAACUUGGACAAUGAACAGUACAAGUACAGUAUAAUGAAAUGCAGUUUGCAUCUAACCAGAAGUGCAAUUAGAAGAGGGCAGAAAAUAUAAAGUAUUAAGUAUAAUGUAUAUUACAAGUGUAAUGUAUAAAUGUGCAAUGAAGGCAAAUGCAAUUACAAAUGGCAAUUCUAAAUGUGCAAUGAAGGCAAUUGAAGGUGCAUGUGCAACUGAAAUGCAGGAAUAGCAGCAAUGAGGUUCCAGAGGUAGAUUUGUACAUGUAUCAACUGAAUAAUUCGUCAUUAUACUUUGCAAAGCUGUGUCAGUCAGAGAGAAAAUGACAAGUAUUAUUUAUAAUGUAUGUUGCAAGUGGGAUAUAUCGAUGUGCAAUGAAGGCAAAUGCAAUUACAAAUGGCAAUUCUAAAUGUGCAAUGAAGGCAAUUGAAGGUGCAUGUGCAACUGAAAUGCAGGAAUAGCAGCAAUGAGGUUCCAGAGGUAGAUUUGUACAUGUAUCAACUGAAUAAUUCGUCAAUAUACUUUGCAAAGCUGUGUCAGUCAGAGAGAAAAUUACAAGUAUUAUUUAUAAUGUAUGUUGCAAGUGGGAUAUAUCGAUGUGCAAUGAAGGCAAAUGCAAUUACAAAUGGCAAUUCUAAAUGUGCAAUGAAGGACAUUGAAGGUGCAUGUGCAACUGAAAUGCAGGCAUAGCAGCAAUGAGGUUCCCAAGGUAGACACUUGUGUAGCAACUGAAAAACGCCCUUAUCAGACUUUGUAAAGGAGUGUCAGACUCCAGUAGUACCAGGGAGUAGUGCCACAAGGUCCCUGAGCGACAGUGCUAAGAGGUGGGCGGGUGGGUAUGGUUAGUGAUGGGUGCAGAGUUCAGCAGGGUUACAGUAGUAGGGAAGAAACUGUUCCUGAGCCUGCUGGUGUGGGAACAAAGAGACCUGUACCACUUGCCUGAUGGGAGGAGGGCAAACAGUUUGUGGCAUGGAUGUGAAAGGUCCCUGGUGAUGCCGCGUGCCCUAUUCAGAUAUCGCUUGCACUGGAGUUCUACGAUGGUUGUGAGCUGGGCACCAAUGAGGUGCUGGGCUGUUUCCACCACCCGUUGCAGGGACUUCUGGUCGGCCACGUAGCAUCCGCCAAACCACACUGUGGGAAUGCUCUCGAUUGUGAAGCAGUAAAAGUCACAAGGAUCUUGGGAGACAGGCAGGCCUUCUUGAGCCUCCUUAAAGAGUGCAGGCGCUGCUUUGCCUUUUUGACCCGGGUUGAGGUUUUGAGGGUCAAGGAGAGGUCCUCGGAGAUGUGGUCACCCUGGAAUUUUAAGCUGGCCACACGCUCCAGCUCAGUGCCAUCGAUGAGAUCUGUGGCAUAACUGCCUUUAAACUUCCUGUUAUCCACAAUGUGCUCUCUGGUUUUCUUUGGUUAAUGGCCAGAUUAUUGUCAGCGCAUCAUGCCGCCAGGCAUUUGACCUCCUCCCUGUGACCUCAUCCCUUUUGAACCCAUAGCGGCUGUCUAUUGCAACGACGCAAAUGGCCUGGUGUCUUCAACAAUAGUUUUUGUGCAAAUAUCAAAGUAUAUUUCAAUAUUUAAAGUUUUAUACAUUUUUGUCUAGCGCUAAAGCCCCCACAGCCUUUCACUUUUUGUUGUUGUUUGGUGAAAAAGAAUUAGAAACAUCGUUGCUUUAUUAGUGUUAAUGAUGUCAGGGUAACUAACAUAAAUAGUCACAGCGAGUAAAUGUUUGGGGAUGUUUGAUGCAGUGAAAUUUUUGUAAUAUCUUUACGAUGACAACUCUGUUGUGUUUACGUGAUGGGCAAGCACAUCAACUGUGGAGCUCAAAUGAUUGUAAUUGAUUUGUAAUGGGAAGAGUUGCAGUGUUUAGGCUUUUUUAUUCGGCUAGCAAGUUUUCAUGUGUUUCUUCUGAUUUAAAUGUUUCUAUUUUAUAUAUAGAAAUUGCCCCAGCUGCUUGUCCUAGCUAACUACUCAGCCAACUGUCAGACCAUCUAGAAAAACUGUGGCCGCAAAUGUUUGCUUAGCCUGCAAAGCAACGAGAUGUCACUUUCACUAGCUAGCUAUGCGUUGUGGUGGUAAUGUUGUUCUAUGCUGAGAACUCUUGAUCGUGAUGAUAUCCUGAAUCUGCAUAAAGAUGUGUUUUCACUUAUCUAUACAAAGUAAUGUCUUGAGGUUUGUGUGCCUGUCACAUCCUGGCUAUGCCCCUAGCCAUCUCUGCGCUGGGCUCGGGCCAUAGUCAGGACCAGACAGAAAGGGGUGCCUCUAGGCACCUCUAGUGCCAUUUUGUUCUCUCCAAUUGGAGGUAGGUGUAAAUUGUUGCAUCCAAUUGGGGAACCUAUUUAUGUUCUAUGUUUGUCCACACCUGGUGUGGAUCAUUGUGUUUGUGCUACCUGUGCAACGUGAUCGGUUGCUGACUUGCUUUUGGUUUUCUCAUUAAACCAUGGAUUACCACGACUACGUGUCUGUGCCUGUGUCCUGCCUUCACAACCGUGACAGUCCAUUAUGGUUACUUUCUGAUCACAUGAGCUUUUUGAGCUUGAAUCAUUGCUGGCUCAAUCAUAAAGAGAGUUGUUGUGUUUAGUUUUAUGUUGUCAGCAAAGUAUUUCUUGUGACUACCCAUGUCAUUCAAUUAGAAACUACCCCAGCUGCUUGCUGUAGCUAGAUAGCUAUCUAGGUUAGCUAAAUAAGUUGUGUGGUGGAAAAUUUUAUGAUUGUGUCUAUAAUGGGAAAAGAUUUAUAUAAUUCCAAGUUACAAGAAUGCGAUAUCAAAUUAAAUACCAGUAUGUGCCCUAUAAAACAAAAUAAACUUAUAAC